UCCAACCUACCGGUUAUUCCGGGAUAGCCUUUCGAAAGAAAGAUUAAUACCGGAUAGUAUAACGAGAAGCAUCUUUUUGUUAUUAAAGAAUUCCGAUAACCGAUGGGGAUGCGUUCCAUUAGUUUGUUGGCGGGGUAACGGCCCACCAAGACAUCGAUGGAUAGGGGUUCUGAGAGGAAGGUCCCCCACAUUGGAACUGAGACACGGUCCAAACUCCUACGGGAGGCAGCAGUGAGGAAUAUUGGUCAAUGGACGAGAGUCUGAACCAGCCGAAAGUAGCGUGAAGGAAUGACUGCCCUAUGGGUUGUAAAACUUCUUUUAUAUGGGAAUAAAGUGAGCCACGUGUGGCUUUUUGUAUGUACCAUACGAAUAAGGAUCGGCUAACUCCGUGCCAGCAGCGGC
rnacentral:rRNA from 1 species